GAUGAACGCUGGCGGCGUGCCUAAUACAUGCAAGUCGAGCGAAUGGAUUAAGAGCUUGCUCUUAUGAAGUUAGCGGCGGACGGGUGAGUAACACGUGGGUAACCUGCCCAUAAGACUGGGAUAACUCCGGGAAACCGGGGCUAAUACCGGAUAACAUUUUGAACCGCAUGGUUCGAAAUUGAAAGGCGGCUUCGGCUGUCACUUAUGGAUGGACCCGCGUCACAUUAGCUAGUUGGUGAGGUAACGGCUCACCAAGGCAACGAUGCGUAGCCGACCUGAGAGGGGGAUCGGCCACACGGGGACUGAGACACGGCCCAGACUCCUACGGGAGGCAGCAGUAGGGAAUCUUCCGCAAUGGACGAAAGUCUGACGGAGCAACGCCGCGUGAGUGAUGAAGGCUUUCGGGUCGUAAAACUCUGUUGUUAGGGAAGAACAAGUGCUAGUUGAAUAAGCUGGCACCUUGACGGUACCUAACCAGAAAGCCACGGCUAACUACGUGCCAGCCGCCGCAGUAA
rnacentral:rRNA from 1 species